CCUACGGGAGGCAGCAGUGGGGGAUAUUGCACAAUGGGGGGAACCCUGAUGCAGCGACGCCGCGUGGGUGAAGGAGCGUUUCGGCGCGUAAAGCCCUAUCGGCAGGGAAGAAGAAGGACGGUACUUGACUAAGAAGCCCCGGCUAACUACGUGCCAGCAGCCGCGGUAAUAAGUAGGGGGCAAGCGUUAUCCGGAUUUACUGGGUGUAAAGGGGGCGCAGACGGCAGCGCAAGCCAGGAGUGAAAGCCCGGGGCCCAACCCCGGGACUGCUCUUGGAACUGCGCGGCUGGAGUGCAGGAGGGGCAGGCGGAAUUCCUGGUGUAGCGGUGAAAUGCGUAGAUAUCAGGAGGAACACCGGUGGCGAAGGCGGCCUGCUGGACUGCGACUGACGUUGAGGCCCGAAAGCGUGGGGAGCAAACAGGAUUAGAUACCCUGGUAGUC
rnacentral:rRNA from 1 species